rnacentral:rRNA from 1 species
AGCCAUGCCGCGUGUGUGAAGAAGGCCCUCGGGUUGUAAAGCACUUUCAGCGAGGAAGAACGCCUAGCGGUUAAUACCCGCUAGGAAAGACAUCACUCGCAGAAGAAGCACCGGCUAACUCCGUGCCAGCAGCCGCGGUAAUACGGAGGGUGCAAGCGUUAAUCGGAAUUACUGGGCGUAAAGCGCGCGUAGGUGGCUUGAUAAGCCGGUUGUGAAAGCCCCGGGCUCAACCUGGGAACGGCAUCCGGAACUGUCAAGCUAGAGUGCAGGAGAGGAAGGUAGAAUUCCCGGUGUAGCGGUGAAAUGCGUAGAGAUCGGGAGGAAUACCAGUGGCGAAGGCGGCCUUCUGGACUGACACUGACACUGAGGUGCGAAAGCGUGGGUAGCAAACAGGAUUAGAUACCCUGGUAGUCCACGCCGUAAACGAUGUCGACCAGCCGUUGGGUGCCUAGCGCACUUUGUGGCGAAGUUAACGCGAUAAGUCGACCGCCUGGGGAGUACGGCCGCAAGGUUAAAACUCAAAUGAAUUGACGGGGGCCCGCACAAGCGGUGGAGCAUGUGGUUUAAUUCGAUGCAACGCGAAGAACCUUACCUACUCUUGACAUCCUGCGAAUUUGGUAGAGAUACCUUAGUGCCUUCGGGAACGCAGAGACAGGUGCUGCAUGGCUGUCGUCAGCUCGUGUUGUGAAAUGUUGGGUUAAGUCCCGUAAC